GCUUCCCUAGUCUAUUGCUAAGACCUCUAUUGUGUCAUUUGACAGAGAAGUCGAGGGUUCGAAUCCCUACGGAGGCA